rnacentral:rRNA from 1 species
AAGCUUACCAUGCAAGGUCUCUUGAUCCUUCGGGAUGAAGGUGGCGGACGGGAUGAGUAACGCGAUAAAGAACUUGCCUUACAGACUGGGACAACAUUUGGAAACGAAUGCUAAUACCGGAUAUUAUGACUGAGUCGCAUGAUUUGGUUAUGAAAGCUAUAUGCGCUGUGAGAGAGCUUUGCGUCCCAUUAGUUAGUUGGUGAGGUAACGGCUCACCAAGACGAUGAUGGGUAGCCGGCCUGAGAGGGUGAACGGCCACAAGGGGACUGAGACACGGCCCUUACUCCUACGGGAGGCAGCAGUGGGGAAUAUUGGACAAUGGACCAAAAGUCUGAUCCAGCAAUUCUGUGUGCACGAUGAAGUUUUUCGGAAUGUAAAGUGCUUUCAGUUGGGAAGAAGUCAGUGACGGUACCAACAGAAGAAGCGACGGCUAAAUACGUGCCAGCAGCCGCGGUAAUACGUAUGUCGCAAGCGUUAUCCGGAUUUAUUGGGCGUAAAGCGCGUCUAGGCGGUUUAGUAAGUCUGAUGUGAAAAUGCGGGGCUCAACCCCGUAUUGCGUUGGAAACUGUUAAACUAGAGUACUGGAGAGGUAGGCGGAACUACAAGUGUAGAGGUGAAAUUCGUACAUAUUUGUAGGAAUGCCGAUGGGGAAGCCAGCCUACUGGACAGAUACUGACGCUAAAGCGCGAAAGCGUGGGUAGCAAACAGGAUUAGAUACCCUGGUAGUCCACGCCGUAAACGAUGAUUACUAGGUGUUGGGGGUCGAACCUCAGCGCCCAAGCUAACGCGAUAAGUAAUCCGCCUGGGGAGUACGUACGCAAGUAUGAAACUCAAAGGAAUUGACGGGGACCCGCACAAGCGGUGGAGCAUGUGGUUUAAUUCGACGCAACGCGAGGAACCUUACCAGCGUUUGACAUCCCAAGAAGUUAACAGAGAUGUUUUCGUGCCUCUUCGGAGGAACUUGGUNACAGGUGGUGCAUGGCUGUCGUCAGCUCGUGUCGUGAGAUGUUGGGUUAAGUCCCGCAACGAGCGCAACCCCUUUCGUAUGUUACCAUCAUUAAGUUGGGGACUCAUGCGAGACUGCCUGCGAUGAGCAGGAGGAAGGUGGGGAUGACGUCAAGUCAUCAUGCCCCUUAUACGCUGGGCUACACACGUGCUACAAUGGGUAGUACAGAGAGCUGCAAACCUGCGAGGGUAAGCUAAUCUCAUAAAACUAUUCUUAGUUCGGAUUGUACUCUGCAACUCGAGUACAUGAAGUUGGAAUCGCUAGUAAUCGCAAAUCAGCUAUGUUGCGGUGAAUACGUUCUCGGGUCUUGUACACACCGCCCGUCACACCACGAGAGUUGGUUGCACCUGAAGUAACAGGCCUAACCGUAAGGAGGGAUUCCAGGGGU